GCUGAAACACCUGGUCACAUUUUUGUAGCUGCCGAUUGUGAGGUGUAAUUUCAUUGAGACAGUUACGAAUGUGUCGUGCCAUGCUUCCGGACCUUUUGAAGUCCAUCUUUCCUCAAGGGGAACUGGCACUGUCAUACACUGGAUGUGUUCAAAAGGACACAAAGUAUGGGUGUGCAAUUCACAGCCCACACUUAAAUACGGCAUGCAUGCAGGAGAUUUUAUGAUGGCCACAAACAUUCUCCUGUCAGGAAAUAAUUACUACAAAGUAGCACACCUAUUCAACUAUAUGAACAUGGGCUUUCUAGGGAAGGACACAUUUUUUAAAAUUCAGGACACCUAUUGCAUUGGAGCAAUAAAGAACGUGUGGGAGGAGAAGAGAUCUGCAGCCAUUCAACGUGUGAAGAAUAAAGAUGGCAUUGUCAUAUUAGCAGAUGGACGAAUGGACAGUCCUGGCUACUGUGCCCAGUAUUGCUCCUACACUGCCAUGGAGAAUGAUUCAAAGGAAAUCAUCUCAGUUGUUACCAUCGAUAAGAGGCAGACUUCACGCAAUUCUGUGAUCAUGGAGAAAGAGGCUUUUGUCAGGACCAUGGACAAGCUUCUUGGUGAAGUUAAGAUUGCAGAAAUUUGCACUGAUGCUCACACACAAAUUGCCUCUGUUAUGAGAUAAAACAACUGGUCGCUAUAAAGACAAAGGAAUUGUUCACUCAUGGGACAUAUGGCAUGGGGGCAAAGAAUUUAGCCAAGAUGACCUCUGCGGCAGCACAGCAAUCUGGACAAAAGAUCCUUUUUCACUGGUUAAAAGAAAUUGUGAAUCACUUUUGGUUCUGCUGCAAGACAGCAGACACGGUGCAACAGUUCCUUAAACUGUGAAGCAGUUUGCUUUACCACGUAACCAACAACCACGAGUGCUACCUUGGUCACUGCCUGCAUGGGGCACUGCCAGAGAACCAGGACAGACAAUGGUUGGAAAGUGGUUCAAACGCUCAUAAGGAAUUGGAAGCUAUAGUGUUUAAGAAGAGGUUGGUCAGAGAUGUCCACCGUUAUCUACCUGUCAGGUCUGCAUCCCUCUCAUCAGUACAAAACUAUGAAGUGGAAAAACAUAUUCACACUCUUUGGACAUAAAGUUAUAUGGUAACAUGAGCCACAUGAAGUUUACAGCUCUGUUGUUUAUCAGUUUCUUAUACAAGUUAAGUUUUUUGAAUAGGGUUCGUUUCCAAAUAAACUGAUAAUGUCCUACUGCCCUUCAUUAUAUUGUUAACUUCUUA